rnacentral:rRNA from 1 species
UACGUAGGUGGCGAGCGUUGUCCGGAUUUACUGGGCGGAAAGAGCGCGCAGGCGGCUGGUCAAGUCCGAUGUGAAAGCUCCCGGCUUAACUGGGAAAUUGCAUCGGAAACUGAUCGGCUGGAAGGUGGGAGAGGGUAGCGGAAUUCCCGGUGUAGUGGUGAAAUGCGUAGAUAUCGGGAGGAACACCAGUGGCGAAAGCGGCUACCUGGCCCAUUCUUGACGCUGAGGCGCGAAAGCUAGGGGAGCAAACGGG